rnacentral:rRNA from 1 species
AGUGAACGCUGGCGGCAGGCCUAAUACAUGCAAGUCGAACGGCAGCACAGCAGAGCUUGCUCUGUGGGUGGCGAGUGGCGGACGGGUGAGGAAUACAUGGGAAUCUGCCCAGUCGUGGGGGAUAACGUAUGGAAACGUACGCUAAUACCGCAUGCGCCCUAAGGGGGAAAGCCGGGGACCGCAAGGCCUGGCGCGAUUGGAUGAGCCCAUGUUCGAUUAGCUAGUUGGCGGGGUAAAGGCCCACCAAGGCGACGAUCGAUAGCUGGUCUGAGAGGAUGAUCAGCCACACUGGAACUGAGACACGGUCCAGACUCCUACGGGAGGCAGCAGUAGGGAAUAUUGGACAAUGGGGGCAACCCUGAUCCAGCCAUGCCGCGUGAGUGAAGAAGGCCCUCGGGUUGUAAAGCUCUUUUGUCCGGAAGAAAAGCAAUCGGUUAAUACCCGGUUGUUCUGACGGUACCGGAAGAAUAAGCACCGGCUAACUUCGUGCCAGCA